UGAGGGCGCAGGAUGGAGCGAACCACGAGGGUGAGAGCGAGGUGGGCUGCCUGGAGGGGUCCUGCCUGUCUUCAUCUGGCAGUGGGGUGCUUUAUCUGGGCCUGAUUUAUGGCAUUUGCAAGACAAGGUUGCAUGGCCCCAGCGACCCGCAUUGGCACCAGCGAUGGAAAGUUUAGCGCUUGGUCCUGAUGACUUUGGGUACACCCUGCAGAAAAUAUUGGCCGUCGUAUCCAAAGUCCGCUAAAUCAAGAUCCGUUAAACUGUAAUUGUAGAACGAAGGAAACUGCAAUAAAAUGAUUAGAACAAAAAUGAAGGGAAAUGGUAAAAAACAGCAACAUGUUUUUCUCCUGAGCAAGAAAGUCCUCUGCCUUCCCGCUCGCACGGCUUGAAAUACGAACGCUCGGUUGUGUAACGUCUGGAGUCAGAAAAGCUGAAUCCAAGAGGUAGAAUCGUUCAAGAAUUAAACGAUUUAAUUUUUCUGGUGUUUGCAUAGCCCUAAUAAAAAUGUCCAGCUGUGGGA